AUUGAACGCUGGCGGCAGGCCUAACACAUGCAAGUCGAGCGGAUGAAGGGAGCUUGCUCCUGGAUUCAGCGGCGGACGGGUGAGUAAUGCCUAGGAAUCUGCCUGGUAGGGGGGGAUAACGUCCGGAAACGGGCGCUAAUACCGCAUACGUCCUGAGGGAGAAAGUGGGGGAUCUUCGGACCUCACGCUAUCAGAUGAGCCUAGGUCGGAUUAGCUAGUUGGUGGGGUAAAGGCCUACCAAGGCGACGAUCCGUAACUGGCCUGAGAGGAUGAUCAGUCACACUGGAACUGAGACACGGUCCAGACUCCUACGGGAGGCAGCAGUGGGGAAUAUUGGACAAUGGGCGAAAGCCUGAUCCAGCCAUGCCGCGUGUGUGAAGAAGGUCUUCGGAUUGUAAAGCACUUUAAGUUGGGAGGAAGGGCAGUAAGUUAAUACCUUGCUGUUUUGACGUUACCAACAGAAUAAGCACCGGCUAACUUCGUG
rnacentral:rRNA from 1 species